rnacentral:rRNA from 1 species
CCCUUAGAUGUUCGGGGCCGCACGCGCGCUACACUGAAGGAAUCAGCACGUCUUUCUCCUUGUCCGAAAGGACUGGGUAACCCGCUGAACCUCCUUCGUGCUAGGGAUUGGGGCUUGUAAUUCUUCCCCAUGAACGAGGAAUUCCCAGUAAGCGCGAGUCAUAAGCUCGCUUUGAUUACGUCCCUGCCCUUUGUACACACCGCCCGUCGCUACUACCGAUUGGAUGGUUUAGUGAGAUCCUCGGAUUGGUCCCGGCGCGGCCUCUGGUCGUGCCGGAGUGCCGAAAAGAAUGUCGAACUUGAUCAUCUAGAGGAAGUAAAAGUCGUAACA